AACCAUCCCUAUUUAUUUAUUUAUCCAUCCAUCCAUCCUCGCUCUCGUGCACAAAUUAUUAAUCUCAUUUCCAGCGGCCUCCAGAAAAUUUCCUAUUCCGUCAUCCGCAUUCGAAUUUCCCCGAACCGGCCGUGUUUCUUCCGUUGGUUCAUCUGCCCAACCGAUCUUCAGGCGGUUUCGGCCAACGUUGGAUCCGGUCGCCACCUGCCUUCCAUGGAUUUCUCCGCAAGCUUUCCCACUUUUAAAAAUAAAUAUCCCCUGUUUUAUCGGGGCCUAGUCUAGCAUAAUAACCCAAAAAGGGCCCGAAUCAGGCUUCGAAACCACGCUUUGUUUAUUAUGGUACGGUACCCUGGCGCCACUACUGUUGCUAAAGCGAGCGAACGGCCAGGUUAAUGCAUGUUAACGUGCCGGGUCGUGGAACCGCCGCGCGGGGCUCCACUCCGGUCUGGUGGUUAGGGUGAAAAACCUUGAGCGAGAGCGCCAAUUAUUUCCGUGCAGAGUCCCACCGAAGGCUUAGCAUAUCGGACGGCGGAGGCAGGCUCGGCCGGUGAAUCCCGGCCGCCGGUGCCGGCGGCGGCGGCGGCCCGGCGAAACGGGAUCCGUAAAACCCUACGGGCUUUCCCUCUGUGAGGCAGCUUUAUUUUGUGUUAGGUUCGGCUGCAGUGCACGCGCGCGCCCUCGGCCACCCUUUUGGUGUCCCGUGGAAAGGACUGCCCAGUACGGCCGCUACCGGCCAACCGAGCAGAAGGCGCCGCGCCGUGACGGGGAGUUUGGCGCGCCCGUGGCCUCGUCCUUCUCGCUCGCGGCGGCGCACCAUCGAGAGCAUCGUCCUUCUGCUUUGUAGCCUGGUACAGCCUGCCUGCCGCCGUGGGGUUCCUCCAUCUGGUGCACCAGCGAUGAUACUCUGUAUUUCCGAGUAGAAUAUUUCAGGUGAAUCUGCCCAGCAUGUGCACCGGGGGUCUCACGCUCUCACGGGAUUUGGCGAGGACCGUCUCGACAAAACUAGCGAUGGCACCAACCCUCAAGGAGCGCUCUCUGCUUUGGAGCCGUGCUCUGACUUUGGGGCUCUGUGUUUCUUGAGUGCUGCUUUGGCUUGUGAGGUGAUGCGAGGAUGGUUUGUCAUCUUCAUCUUUGGGCUAGAGUGACGAGUUAUCAUGCUUGGCUUUCCUACAUGGUAGUACGUAGUAGAGAACAAAACUCAAGGAAAAUAAGAAAACAAUUGGACAUGCUUUAUAUCGGGAGGCCAAUAUAAAGUAGUAGCAGUAAUGUGGAGAUGGACAAAUUACUUGUAUCUUGAUUCGUCAUCUAUGUCUUGGAGCUUUGUCGACGA